UUUUCGAGUGUGCCGUCUCCACCAGCAUCUGAACCCCAAGUCCUUGGAUUUUGUUCUCAUUCCUGAAGCACUGAAUUCAGCAAGAACCACACUUAACCUCCUUUCUGGAACUCCAGAUAGUCAUAUUACCUCAGCCCAGAUGACAGAUGAAAAGGAGAAAGAGCCCAGGAUAAAACACGGUAGCACCUGCCUGGAGGUAUAGAUGGCCUACACCUAAUAUAGUCUCUGCCUUAAAACAUCUCCAUGGAAACAGCUGGGGAGUAAAUAAUGGGAUAGCUAUUUGGUCAGUAAUAAGAUGGAUAAAUGACUGAAAAUUAGGAACUGAUGACAUACGUAUGGCAGAAAACAGCCCUGGCUUAUAUCUGUAUAUUCAUCACACAUGCCUAUGUACAUCAGAAGAAUGACUCGGAUGGAACCAAAUUUAAUAACCAGCUAUGGAUACAUAGCACCAGCAAUUGCGAUUGUAUAGUUGCUCCCAAAUGGAAUGUUACAAGCUGGUCAGAAUACAGAUCUACCAUUUGUGACAUCCUCCACUUCUUCCCUGAUCGCCAUUCUGGCCACCUUAUUGCAACUGAGGAUUUACCAGUAUCAUCGGUUCCAGUAUCUCCAUUCUACCCUUCAUCAUGAGCACCAACCCCUUGCUGGGAAACCUUUAAUCAAUAGCGAAAUCAAGGACAGAGGGAAACUGAUGAAGCAGUGGGAAACUUCACAUGAACCAACAAAGAUCCUGAUCAACAUCCCCUAUUAGACUCUAUAAUGGCACAUAUAGCAAAGCAUCCAGGCGGACAAGGCGGUACCUCAAACUCCAGGAAGAGCCUCCAGCUCUCUUCCCACUUCUGGAUGCCUUCAAAGAGCUC